rnacentral:lncRNA from 1 species
AACUGUUACAUAAACUUUGUUCUGCCAUUCUAUUUUAUCAAUGGUCAUACCUUCAGUCAGAAUAUAAAUCACAAUACCUUCUCACUACUUCCAUAUAUAUCCUUUUGGAUCUGCCCUUUCUUUUUAGAGCUAUGGUAAAUCUUUAUAAUGAGUACUAAUUGUAUUUAUGAAUUAACAAUGCUAAUUAAUUCAUUCAAACAAGCUGUACUAUCAAUGCUAAUGGAUGCAUCCAAACAAGCUAUACUAUCUUUCCUAGUCUAUAAAAUUAGGGGCUUUUUAAGAAAACAACCUCCUUUAUAUUUAUUUUAAUAAGAAAUUGGACCUGUUCACUAAUUUUUUUUUGGCUUUUACAGUUCAUAAAUGUCAUUUUAAGGGGCAAAAUAGAUAAAUUUACCCUCUUUUUAGAACAAAGCAUUUUCUCUUCAUAUUUAAAUUUUUUCCUCUCUCUUCUCCAACUUUUGGGAGAGGAAAAAAAUUGAAUCCGAAAAGUACUCCCCAUCUACUACUACUCCUUGACCAAUACCUCCUCUUCUUCUUUCUACGCCAAGACUAGCGAAACCGCCUCUAUCAUUGUUAAACUUGAUGGCUCUCGAACUAUUCUCAAAUCUUCCUCUCAAUCAGGUAUUCCUUCUUCUUCUCUUCAAUACCCUCAGGUCAUCUUCUGAGCUUCUUUGAUGGACCUUCGUGUUAUUUAGCCCAUGUUCUAUAGGCCAAAGAGAGAGGAGGAGGAGGCGGAGCUAACUCCGAAUCCAUGAAAUUUACUUACGAGUGGGUUGGGUUCCAGGUUUUUCAAGGAAGAGAGCAGAGAGAGAAAGAGGGGAGGUGGGAGAGGAAAGAGAAAGUGAGGUUUUUAUUGGGUUUCAUGCUUGUGUCUUCUAACUCUCUGACUAGCGCACGAAAGACGUGCACAUAAGCUGUAAAAUUGGUACUUUCUGUCAUCUUUAACUCAUUAUACUUCCUCAAUGCCAUGGUUUACUUCAUGAGAGAAAGUUUAGCAUACUAUCUCUCAAGUUUAGUACUUUAUACCUCCUCUUCCAACUGGUGUACUCAUCUUUAGUUUCUUGAGAUAAGUCGUUAGUUGGACAACGAGGACAGUACUCAUAGAGUACCUCAUGCAAGUUUUCCUCAUAAAGCACAUAUGGAAUCUUACUUUUUCAGGAAGCAUAGUUGGUCUCAUCAAACCUUUCGGUUUUCAGGAUCUCUGAGAUGAAGGUACAAGCAGCCAUAUCCUUUUUAUUCUCAAGCAAAAAUAAGAAAAGACUCCUACUGUCAAUCAAGUAAACUAGUUCUGAUACCAAUGAAAGAAAGAUCUAUGUGACCUUUUUAUCGGGGAAUAUAAGUAUUAUUUUUUAUUUCACCCCUUUAUUUUGGUAAAAAAAUUCACUUACAUGUGGUCUCAAUUACAAUGACAAAUAAAUCAAAAUAAAAGCAACUUAACAAUAAAACAAAAACUUUUAACAACUUGAUGCCAUUCAAACAAUCUAUAUUAUGCUUGAGAAUAUAAAGAUAAAAUUGCAAGAAACAAAAUUAGAGGAUGCCGGAGAUUACCUCAACCGAGCUUAUUACACCUCACACCGAGUCACCAUCAUCCGAUGAUGCGGGAUCAACGGUUUAGCUUCAAUCUCGAAUCGAGAAAGCUAAUUUCGGCCAAACUGAGUAUGCACACUUAAAUCUUUACAAAACUCUAACCCCCAAAAUAUUAUUGGCUUAACCCUAAUUUCCUAACCAUUAGUAUUUUUGGACAAGAGAGAGAGAGAGUGGGAUACAUAGGUCGCAGCGUGCCCUUCUGUGGGCUUAGGAGAGAGAAGGUUAGAGAGAGAAAGUUGGAGAGAGAGACCUAGAGGAGAGAGUGUGGGGCGUGCCCCUAUGGGAGAGAGAGGAGAGAGAGAGUUAUGCGAGAGAGAUAAAGUUUUAGAGAAUAAGAGGGGGUACACCCCUAUUUAUAGUGCAAAAUUAGGUUUAGGGUUUCUCACAGUUUGUUUCUUUUCUUGAGAUUGGAUACGGAUCAUUGAUCAGGGUGACUUGUGGGGUGAGAGAUCUUAGCCAUCCAUUCCAUAGAUGGGUCAUCAACAUUAUGGAAGGUGCAUGGACCAUUAUUCCCAUUUCCUUAACCAUUUUUCCAUCAUAUGAAAAUAGCUAAGUUAUAUCUAUUUAAAAUAUUAGGAUUUUUAUUCAAUAGCAUAAUCUUAUCACAAAAUAUUCCAAAGAUAUAUCAAGUCAAUAUUCACUUUCAAAUUUUAGAUAAGAUAUGGUCAAUAUAUUCCAUAUCUUAUUUGACCAUAUGCUACCAGAUAAACUUUCCAAAACCUUUGAGAUAACUUGAUCACAAAGCAAACAACCAAGAGGUGGGACGAGCCACCCAUGUGUGGUACGUAUGGGCUCCACCCACUUGAUACAUGGUGGGCCCAUGUACACUAUGGGGCCCCAUGAUGUUUUUAUGUAAUAUUAGAAUUAACAAGUUAAUUUCUAAAAUAUUAUUUGAAUUUUAUACUUUUGUAAAAUCAAUAUCUUUAUUUUUAUAAGUCCAAAAAUUAUAAAUAAAAUAUCAAAAGACUCAUAAAAAAAAUUCAAAUAAUAAUUCUAAAAUAAUUUCUAUUAUAAGACAAACAUAAUUAAAUUAAUUUGAUGAAAAUGGAUCCAUAUGGUUUAGAAAUUGAAUUAGCAAUCAUGGGAGUAUUUCACCUUCAACUGUGGACUAUGGAACACACUUGCUUUAUCAGACCAAUCCAGUGUUUCCCAUGACCCACAAUCCAAGCAGGGGCUCAUUAGCGGGUCACCAAAGUCUAGCCGAUGAGCCAAAGGGUCGCAAUCCUAGUCUAUAGAUUUCAGGUCCUCCCCUAGAAACGAGUCAAGGUCACCACGACCUGAUGAGACUACAGCUCUAUGGUGCAUAUGUUUAUCUCUCGUACAUGCAUACGCUUCACCCUAAAAGUGGAUUUCUGAAUUUCCUGAAUGAUCUAUCGAUUUGCAUGUCGUGUGAUGGAUCAUGGAUAAGGUUUUGGCCCCCGUCUCUGUAGGCCCACCAUCACACACAAGGGUCGCACAGUCCCUCGGCUUACUCAUCCAAGCAUAAGCUCUGACCUCAUUAAGGGAUAACCCAGAAUCCUUCUCGGUUUAUUCUCUAUGCCCAGGUAACUUGGAUUUUUUCCAACCAACUGGCCUAGAUCGUCAAGCACAGUCUGGUAUCAACAAAUAUCGAUCGCUUUAGUAUGAUUCACGAGGGACCAUACUCCCAUUGAGUUUAUGUUCCACUAUAACAAAUGUUUAUUACACACUUAUAAGGCUUUUAAAAGCCACAUAAAAUUUGGGGCAUGGCGGUGCAGGGGUAGAGAGAGAGGGGGGGCAGUAAGAGGGAGGAGAAGAGAGAAUGUGAGGAGGAGAGUAAGUGAAGAGAAAGGGAGUACUAUAGUUGGGCUUGGGCAGGGCCAUGAACCAGUGGACGGUAGUUUCAAGAGGUGUUUUCUUCACUCUAGGAGAGAGAUUACCUCGUCAUCAAGAAUUCGCUUCACCCAUAAGAGAGAGAGUUACUUGAUGUUUUAGGAGAGGAGAGAUAAAUGUUUGCCUGGGUGGUUGAGAGGGAUGAUUCUCUGAGAGAGGUAGCACAGUCGAGAGAUGAUUUGAGAGACAACUCUGUUAACAUGAGAGAGAGAGAGAGAGAUGUUACAUACUUUUCUGAAAGUUCGUGGACUUCUAGACCCAUGAGGUUGGGGCCUAUUUUUUUAGGAAAGAAAAAUAUAUUGAUUUCUUAUAAAAGAGCCUUUCUUAAU